UACAGAGGUCUCAAGCGUUGUUCGGAUUCAUUGGGCGUAAAGGGUGCGUAGGCGGCGCGGUAAGUCGGAUGUGAAAUCUCGGAGCUUAACUCCGAAACUGCAUUCGAUACUGCCGUGCUUGAGGACUGGAGAGGAGACUGGAAUCUACGGUGUAGCGGUGAAAUGCGUAGAUAUCGUAAGGAAGACCAGUGGCGGAAGGCGGGU
rnacentral:rRNA from 1 species